CAGUGAUCCCUCUGAUAUGUUACCUGAAGUAGAAUGAAUAUGGACUCAUUCAGGAUGGCUUUCUCCUAAAUUUAAAGGUGUAAGUCCUCCUCAAAUCCCAUCUGAAUCUGCAGAGAAGUCUGGCCUCCUAAAACCUGCAUUUUCCAGGGAACUGACUGAAAGGAAAAAAAAUAGAAAGGAAAAGGGUCUAUCUCUAAUAACAAAACCAUUUGUUUGCAAGAAC
rnacentral:lncRNA from 14 species